CCGUCUCAUUUUACAGAUGGGGAAACUGAGGCCCACAGGGGAUAGUGACAAUAUCUCAAGUCCCACAGGAAGUUAGUGGGGACUAAGGCUGGAGCUUCAAUCUUGAAUUGUCUGGCCAUCUGUCAUCUUCCACUCAGCGAACAUCGCGGAGGGUUUGCCUGAGCCAGGCCCUGGGCCAGGACCCUUACUGGAUCCUCUGCAGGAACUCGUUGCCUUACUGGUGAAUGGCUUCCCAGAGACCAGGAAGAUAAGCUGUGAGGGGUGCCACCGAAUCAGCACCAGAACUGAAUAAGAGCUCCAGCACCUGGUCUUGCUUCAAUCCCAAGUGGAAUGGACUCUAGGUCUCGCCU
rnacentral:lncRNA from 1 species